rnacentral:rRNA from 1 species
UACGUAGGGGGCUAGCGUUAUCCGGAAUUACUGGGCGUAAAGGGUGCGUAGGUGGUUUCUUAAGUCAGAGGUGAAAGGCUACGGCUCAACCGUAGUAAGCCUUUGAAACUGGGAAACUUGAGUGCAGGAGAGGAGAGUGGAAUUCCUAGUGUAGCGGUGAAAUGCGUAGAUAUUAGGAGGAACACCAGUUGCGGAAGGCGGCUCUCUGGACUGUAACUGACACUGGAGGCAC